GACGUAGGGCGCGAGCAUUGUCCGGAUUUAUUGGGCGUAAAGAGCUCGUAGGCGGCUUGUCGCGUCGUCCGUGAAAACCCAUGGCUCAACUGUGGGCUUGCGGUCGAUACGGGCAGACUGGAGUACUGCAGGGGAGACUGGAAUUCCUGGUGUAGCGGUGGAAUGCGCAGAUAUCAGGAGGAACACCGGUGGCGAAGGCGGGUCUCUGGGCAGUAACUGACGCUGAGGAGCGAAAGCGUGGGGAGCGAACAGG
rnacentral:rRNA from 1 species